UUGUAUAAAAGUUAAAAGGGAAUUCGGUUAAAUUCCGAUGCGUUACCCGACACUGUAAUUAGUUACAGCAAACACAAAAUACCAUUCAUUUUAUGGAGAAGGUGUGUUUGUAUGCUAAGAGCCAGGAAACCUGCUUUUUAUAUUU
rnacentral:ncRNA from 1 species